rnacentral:rRNA from 1 species
CACGUAGGGCGCGAGCGUUGUCCGGAAUUAUUGGGCGUAAAGAGCUCGUAGGCGGCCUGUUGCGUCCGCUGUGAAAGCCCGGGGCUUAACCCCGGGUCGGCAGUGGAUACGGGCAGGCUAGAGGUAGGUAGGGGAGAAUGGAAUUCCCGGUGUAGCGGUGAAAUGCGCAGAUAUCGGGAGGAACACCGGUGGCGAAGGCGGUUCUCUGGGCCGUUACCUGACGCUGAGGAGCGAAAGCGUGGGGAGCGAACAGG